UGACGGAAUAUUGGGACAAUGGGUGAGAGCCUGAUCCAGCCAUCCCGCGUGAAGGAUGACGGCCCUAUGGGUUGUAAACUUCUUUUGUAUAGGGAUAAACCUAGAUACGUGUAUCUAGCUGAAGGUACUAUACGAAUAAGCACCGGCUAACUCCGUGCCAGCAGCCGCGGUAAUUAA
rnacentral:rRNA from 1 species